rnacentral:rRNA from 1 species
CUGAAAUUUUGAAUGGCCGCAGUAUUUUAACUGUGCAAAGGUAGCAUAAUCAUUAGUCUUUUAAUUAAAGGCUUGUAUGAAUGGUUGGAUGAGAUAUUAACUGUUUCAUAUAAAUUUAUAAUAGAAUUUUAUUUUUUAGUUAAAAAGCUAAAAUAAUAUUAAAAGACGAGAAGACCCUAUAGAUCUUGAUAAUUUAAAAAUUUUAUUUAUAAAGAUUAUUUUAAUUAUUAUUUAUAUAAUUAUUUUAUUGGGGUGAUAUUAAAAUUUAAUAAACUUUUAAUUAAUUAUUUACAUUAAUUAAUGAAUUAUUGAUCCAUUUUUAAUGAUUAAAAAUUUAAGUUACCUUAGGGAUAACAGCGUAAUUUUUUUGGAGAGUUCAUAUCGAUAAAAAAGAUUGCGACCUCGAUGUUGAAUUAAGAAAUAGUGUUGGGCGCAGCAGUUCAAUUUUAAAGUCUGUUCGACUUUUA